rnacentral:rRNA from 1 species
AUGUGGACCUGUCUUCGUUAGCGCUAUGAGCCCUCUGGUGAUGCCUUAUACCUUUCUGCGGUUCGUCAGGAGCAUGCUCUUCAGCAGGGUGACUCUACUGUUGAUGACUUUUAUGCACAGAGUUAUGCUAUCUGGCGCCAGCUUGAUUCUCUCCGCAGUGCUGGUUGUCGUACUUGCCCCUGCUGCCAGGCUGUCCAGGCCGAUUUGGUGUUUCAUCGCGUCUACGAGUUCCUGUCUCGGCUCCGUAAGGAGUUUGAGCCCCGGCGUGCUCAGUUACUUGCUCGUGGCCGUAUUUCUCUCAUGGAGGCGCUUUCAGAGAUUCGUGCUGAGGAGACUCGCCUACGUGGUGCUGGUUUGCUGGAGGUUCCCUCUGUGCUCGCUACUCGGGUUUCUUCCACUCCGCCGGCUGCACCACCCCAUUCUCGCUCGAGUGCUCCGCCGCUCUUGCCCACUCCUUCUGGAGGCUCAGGUCGCCCCCGUUCACAUUGUGACUACUGCAACAAUGAUGGUCAUAUUGAGUCCCAGUGCUACACCAAGCGGAAACACCUGCGCAAGGCGCGAUCAUCCUCCUCAGGGACUUCG